GUAUUGUAUUGCGUUAAACGCGAUGUACAUUCCAUGAGACUUUAUCACUGUGUGUGUGUGUGUAAAGACAUAGAACCACAGUGGGAAGACAGAGUCCCCCACACCAUAGAACUACAGAGGGUGCACAGGGUGUGAGUGGGUAUGUAAACAGAGUGUGCACAUGCCCCCAUUUGAGGACCAGCAACAACUCGUGUUGACAGUUCAGUAAUGAUCCUUCCGCAGGUUCACCUACGGAAA
rnacentral:misc_RNA from 1 species